GUUGAAAAAACGCGGUUGAACUGCUUAGACAGCUAGGAUGUUGGCUUAGAAGCAGCCAUUCAUUUAAAGAGUGCGUAACAGCUCACUAGUCGAGCGGUUCGGCAUGGAUAAUAAUCGGGCAUAAACAUAUUACCGAAGCUAUGGACUUUAUAUUUAUAUAGAGUGGUAGGGGAGCAUUGUAACGGCGUAGAAGGUGUACUGCGAGGUAUGCUGGAGCGGUUACAAAAGAAAAUGUAGGCAUAAGUAACGAUAAUGCGGGCGAGAAACCCGCACACCGAAAGACUAAGGUUUCCUCAGCUAUGCUAAUCAGCUGAGGGUUAGUCGGGGCCUAAGGCGAACCCGAAAGGGGUAGUCGAUGGACAACCAGUUAAUAUUCUGGUACCUGCUUUAAGAUAAAAGUGACGGAGGCG
rnacentral:rRNA from 1 species